AUUGAACGCUGGCGGCAGGCCUAACACAUGCAAGUCGAGCGGAGCGGCGGACGGGUGAGUAUUGCCUAGGAAUAUGCCUGGUACUGGGGGAUAACGUCCGGAAACGGGCGCUAAUACCGCAUACUAUCAGAUGAGCCUAGGUCGUAUUAGCUAGUUGGGGGGGUAAAGGCCUACAAAGGCGACGAUCCGUAACUGGUCUGAGAGGAUGAUCAGUCACAUUGGAACUGAGAACCGGUCCAGAUCCCUCAGGGAGGAAGAAGUGGGGAAUAUUGGACAAUGGGCGAAAGCCUGAUCCAGCCAGGCCGCGUGUGUGAAGAAGGUCUUCGGAUGGUAAAGCCCUUUAAGUUGGGAGGCGUUACCAACAGAAUAAGCCACGGCUAACUUCGUGCCAGCAGCCGCGGUAAUAC
rnacentral:rRNA from 1 species